ACUGCUCAGUAACACGUGGAUAACCUGCCCAAAAGUCUGGGAUAACCCCGGGAAACUGGGGAUAAUACCGGAUGGAUCACUUCUGCUGGAAGGCUUGGUGGUUUAAAGGCAACGCUUUUGGAUGGGUCUGCGGCGGAUUAGGUUGACGCCGGUGUAACGUACCGGCGUGCCUGUAAUCCGUACGGGUUGUGGGAGCAAGAGCCCGGAGAUGGAUUCUGAGACACGAAUCCAGGCCCUACGGGGCGCAGCAGGCGCGAAAACUCUACAAUGCAGGCAACUGCGAUAGGGGGACAUCGAGUGGCACCCACCUUGGGUGCCUGUCCCACCGUCUAAAAAACGGUGGUUAGCAAGGGCCGGGUAAGACCGGUGCCAGCCGCCGCGGUAAUACCGGCGGCUCGAGUGGUGGCCGAUAUUAUUGAGUCUAAAGGGUCCGUAGCCGGCUUUGCAAGUCCCCUGGGAAAUCCAGCGGCUCAACCGUUGGGCUUCCAUGGGAUACUACAUUGCUUGGGACUGGGAGAGGUAGGAGGUACUCGGGGGGUAGGGGUGAAAUCCUGUAAUCCUCCGGGGACCACCGGUGGCGAAGGCGUCCUACCAGAACAGGUCCGACGGUGAGGGACGAAAGCUAGGGGCACGAACCGGAUUAGAUACCCGGGUAGUCCUAGCCGUAAACGAUGCCCGCUAGGUGUCACGGCGGUCGUGAAUCGCCGUGGUGCCGUAGGGAAGCCGCGAAGCGGGCCACUUGGGAAGUACGGCCGCAAGGCUGAAACUUAAAGGAAUUGGCGGGGGAGCAC
rnacentral:rRNA from 1 species